AGAACCCAAAGAUUAUAUCUUCUGAGAACAUCAGAGAAAGACUGUCCUUGAUAUCCACAAUACGGCAAAACUUCAGGACCUUAAACCUUGGGUUCAUAAUCUCACAAUUGAGCAGUGUCCCAUCACACUCUUGGGACUGUACACCCCCUGAAACCCUUAAGAUUGUACAACAAAUAAUGAAUGGAAAACUCUAAAGGGUAUUUAAACCCCAGAAAACGGAUUAAUGAAGCCACUGCUUAGUUAAAGACCAUCAAGCUUCAGAUGAUCAUGCAACAAGUGUUCCAGCCAGUUCCGGGUGAAGUCACCACCCGUGGCCAUCAAGGAACUACCCUGACUCCACUAGACAGGGCAGGGCAAGAGUUUCAUGAUCCCCAAUAGCUUUCUCUCCCCUUUUAAAAGGCCUGAAACAAUAACUCUAUACUUCAACUCAUUUUCAGCUCUGAGUCAAGAAAACUUUUCUUUUGAGCUGUUGACAGCUUGUAGCAACAAUAUUUGGAGCAUAUUUAUUUCUCUCUACCUGAUUUCUCC